rnacentral:rRNA from 14 species
GUUUGAUCUCAAAUCAGGUAGGACUACCCGCUGAACUUAAGC